CCUUUCCCUUUGUUGGCAGCGUUGAGCAACGAGAUCUUAAUGCUGUGCUAGAGAAGAUUCUCCCGAUGGCUUACGCACCGAACUGGAUUUUGUCUUCUGCCAAGAAAAAACAGAUAGGCUUGCCCCAUCCUUUGAGGGGAAGUGAAAGAAUCGAUAGCACUGGCCUCUGCUUUCCUUGUGGCCCUAUCGAAGCCGCACCUGCCUCUUGUGUGGCUGAUGUGGUCAAAAAGGUGCCCAGAGUAACUCUUCCAUGACGGUCGCUGUUCAGUUGGUCCCCAUGUAGCUGUCCAGCAACAUUUUUAGGAAGAUACAGAUUCUCUGUUGAGGACCUCUCCAGUGUCAAUCCUACCCAAACGAACAGGUGAAAAGAUAAUCUGUCCAUAAGUUGCCAGAAGCUGCCUUCUUACCAUACCCUGUUUAGAGCACAGGUAUCAUCUGAAGCCGCUCUACAUCGGAAGCAGACGAAAUACAGAUGUCCUUUUUCAGCAGAGACGGUUCCCAGCAAGCUGUUUUGCAAGAGACUGCAAUGAAGUGCAGCAGAUUCUGAGUGUUACAGCCAAGUCACACAGUCCUGCCUGGCAGAUUUAUGCCAAUGAUGUGGAGAAGCAUGAAGGGGAAUAUGGUCCUUCAAUCUGUUGUCAUCUUGGAGGUUAUUGAUUAAAAGCUUUCUGAAGUAAACGACUUCUACAGUGUCACCCUUGUCCAAAGAACUCUAAAAGGACUUCCUCUCAUCACUUGUCCACGUCUUUCAACACCCCUCCUGAAAUAGGCUGUUCUGGAGUGGCAAAACCUUCCCGUCCCUUCUUUAAAAAAUGAUUUCGGAGGUGCCUCAGGAGUUGAGGUUGUCUACAAAGAAGCUUCCGGAACGCUAUGUACAAUUUUUGCAACUGAUGUUAUGGCUAUAUGGAAUUAAAGGAUUUUCACUCUU